CAGGUUUCUAGUCUUCUCGUAACGAAAUCUGAGCCAAGCUCAAGCAUCCUAUUGGGCCACGUCGCAUAUUUUUCUAUCGGCAUUGGAUUUUGAUCGGUUUCUAGAUCUUUCAUUCCGAGCGCUAGACUCCCCACUGUUCAUCGUUGCCGCCUCCAUCCAACCCGUCACCGACUCACCCCUGCUCCAACGCCUCCGCGGCCAUUGAGGAGCAAGAGAACCCCCUGCUCUGCUUCACCGAUGCCAGUGCCCGAGGUAAAGUGCAAUCAUUGAGGGCGAAGAGGCGCCCGGGUACGCCAAAACUAUGGCUCGCAAGCACAGGCAAGGGCCAAAAUUGUGUUGUGGCUCCAAUCGGCUGGCUGCUAGCCGUCGCAUGUUGAUGAAGCCAUGAAGGUCGGGUGCCUGCUUCACUUCGAGCGACAGAGGUGUCUGGCAGACUGAAGGCUCGCCGACUGCUGAGAGGCUCGAGCUAUGCACUCUCAGGAUGCCAGUGUGUUGAUCGCCUCCCUCCCAGGCUAAGCUCUGCCUCUCCACCACCUAGGCCACGGAGCCACGCGAGCUACAGAUCGAUGCAACCCCGGCCAUCGGACUGGUGGAGCUCCUGCGGUGCAGCGAUAGAAGGGAGCUGGAGGAGCAGCUCAUACUGCAAAUUGACAGGACAAUGUGCGAGCAGCAGUUCCAGCGGUCCAGCCACUGAUGACAUGCCUCCACUGCCAGCAAGGUGUUCGAUAAAAUGCCAAUCUCCCAGGCAUAUAGCAACUUUAAUUUAAGGUUACCGUAUUAUUCAGGACCAUCGAUACCACUACCAUAAAAUUCUGUUUCUUUAUGAAGGUAAUUAUCUUCUUCUGUUCCUGUUCUGCAAAUGUCUACAAAAGUUCAUUUUGCACGCCUGUUGUGAGACAUGAAGUUCUCUGGCUUAUUGAUGGGUACACAUUAUAUGAGAAAAUUAGUUCCUUAAUGAAAAUAUAUUUUUGGAUUUCUUUGGGGUAACCACCGCACCAGAUAUGAGCAUGAUAUGCUUCCUCCGUGGCCAUUCAUGUAAAGGUAGCUUAUUUCAUUUAGCCAUUCAUCUGUUGCAUGCGUAAGCAGUGUGAACAGUGACACUGCAGGUAAUUUUUUCCAUGCUUCUUCCUAGAAGUAAUGGUGUUACCAUUAAUUGUAUAACUCUGUUUCUUCAUGUGUAAUUGUAUUGCAAUGAAGCUUGCAUGGCUAUUUACUCUUAGAUAUUACAACGAUGCCUGGAUUGCAAGGUACUGAUUCUAUCUUUCAGAGAUAGGGCUUAUAUUCAUAAUGAUAGAUUAUUCCAAAUUGCGUUGUAGUAAGAUAAAAGAGAGUUCUAAUUGUGAAAUUAAAAAAAAAAUAUUUGAAGCCAGCUCCCUUAAGAUAAUUUAAACUUUUCAUUUCCAUAUAAUGCUUUAGGGAUUAAAUUGAUAUUAAUUUCAUGACUUCUAAUUUGGAUAUACUACAAACACAUUGACGUUUGAACUUUAACAUCAGAUAUGUGCUUACUCCUGUAUGGAUAUUUUCAUUCCAAAAUUUAGAACUAGAUAGUGCUUAUUCUGAAUCACAAAUUCAAAGUACAUAUACACAUUGAGUCCCCAACUGCUUCAUGAUAACAAAUAAAUAUGUAAUACUCAGACAUUAAAAAAGUACACCAAGUCAGUUUAACUCUUUUAAGUUAUUUUGGUUUUCAUUUGGAUACAUUGCGAUCAUGGCAAUACUAGGUAUUCAUUUCUAAAUCCUAAUUUGCAGAUCACAUUAACAUAUUAUCAACAAACCUAUCCAUUACAUACAGGUAAAUAGCAAUGAUGCCACCUUACCUUGUUACCAUGAAAAAUCAAACCCAUGUUAUUUACUCUUGAAUUUAAUAGCCAGUGAUUAUCAAACAUUAUUAGAUUGACAUGCUGAUACCUUAUAACUUCAGGUUUCUGCUCUUCAUGCCUUUUUUAUGUUUGGUACAGUUCUAGGUGUUGACAUUUCUUACCUCACAGGAGAGCUUACAAAAUCAUUUUUCUACUCUAAUUAAUAAGAAAUACAUCCCCUGCCUGACAAGAGAAACAGAAUUUGAGUGUAGAUAAAAUCGUUCGAAUCCACUUUGCAAUUUGUGUCUACACUCUACAGUGAUAACAAAACCAAUAGAAGAUUAGAGCUAACUACUUCGUUUGAAUCCUCAGAUCCCCAAUGCCCGCCGCGCACGAACCACCGGAUUGAUGAUGAUCCUGGGCCGGCAGAAUAUCUCGGGGCUUGCCUCAUGCUGGAAAGCCUGCAGCUGCACCGGUGCCAGCUGCAUGACCGUUGAGGGUGCCCGUGAGAUUCAGUUCCAGAGUUGCUGGGGCCUCGAAGACGAUAUGUUUGCCUUGGUUGGCCUAUGCAGGAAAGUGAAAUUCCUGUCAUUAGAAAGGUGCUCACUACUAACAACUCGAGGUCUAGAGUCGGUGAUAACCUCAUGGAGCGACCUGCAGAGCCUAGAAGUCGUCUCUUGCAAUAAAAUCAAGGAUGAGGAAAUAACACCUGCCCGUUCAGAACUAUUCUCCAAUCCAGGGAUUGACCUUUCUUGCAGCAGAUCUUACCAGCCCACCAACGGAUCAAAGGGAAGGUGCUCAACUUAGCAGGUGUUGCCGCUUAGUUGGAUUGCCGCUAGUCAAGAACUUUGCGCGCUCCUACAAAGUUCUUCAUGCUCAGAAGCCAAAUUCUCGACUUCAGACCAAGGGUAGGCACAUUUCCUGAUACUCACAGGAGCCCGUAGACAAAAUCUGGACACACAACAUAGCUAGUCAGAGCCUGAUAGUUAGAAGCACAUUUUGGGUACCAGGCGCUCGAUUGUGUUUGUAUCUGAGUUGUAACUGACGAGAUCUCGUAACUGACAAGCUGAGAUUUGCUCUGAAGAGCCUGAGCAGAAUAUUUAUGUAUGACCAAAAGCAUUCCUUCAUAAAUUAUGCUGACUUUGUUAGUUAUUGAUUAA